UAUGUGUCUCGCAAUGGAAUGAAGAAGCUCAAGGCAUGGGACAGCGACACCCUCUGGUAAAUAGGCAAUCUUGGAAAAUUCCGUCUUUUUAAAAUUAUUGUCUUUAUUUAAUUUUUUUUUCAUUUCUCUUUGGUCUUAAACUGAGAAUAAAGUAUUGAUUUUCAACUUUUUUAAAAUAUUAACACGAGCCUAGCUUCUUAAUGGCAAAAACAAGACAAAUGUAACUUUAAUUUGAGCUUUCUAAUUAUUUCUUGCACACAUCCACAUCUCGAGGUUUGGAGAUUAAAUAAUUCGUUACGUUCCAUGUCCAUGGAAAGUAGCGAAUUAUUUAACCAUGGUUAUUUUGUAAUUUUUAUCAGUUAUAUUAAUAUAUCUUUUUUUGACUCUACUAUAAAGGCGCCUAGUGAAUUUGUUUUGUACAAACUAUUGCUUUCUCGUCCAAUUUUUUGACUCAGAGGCCACUACUGUUCCAUAUUCUAAACGAAGGCGGAUGAAACUUUUGCAAGAGAGAACCAUUCGUAUUGGAGGUAAUGCACUGGUUGAAUAUGUUUUCCAGCUGAAAUUUCGCUAGCUUAAUAGAUUUUUUCCAAUGCUCAGAGAAAUCCAAUUUCUCUGAUAUUAAAAAUCCAAGGUCUCUGGUAGUUGAUUUUCGCUCAACAGGGUGGUAAUUAAAUUAGGCUUAUUAAAAUUGGCUUAAAAUAAAAACUAACAAAAUUAAAUUUAAAUAAUUAUCUCUUCUGUCAGGCGAAAAAGAGUGAGCACGUCAACAAUUUAAACGUGAACUUGUAUCGGAUGCACGAAGGAUGAAGAACGCCAACUCACGUCAAUCACCACGCGUGACCCAAUAAACUUACAACAACAUCUGCCAGAAACUUUUCAAAUCAGUUCUUUGUCUUUCUCUGUGCUGCCCAGUCGGAUUUCCGGUUUUGACAUGUAAUUUUUUUUGUUUUCAUUUCACUUCCCAGUUUUUACUUUAUUAAUUAUUGGAAAACCUCUGUAAUGCCUCAAAAAUAAUUUUCAGGUCGUGUAGUGGCAUGAAGCGAGGCACGAUCCAAGGUCUAGUGAAGAUCGAAGACGACGAUGGUUUUGAUCAAAUGGAGGAUGAAAUCCAGCUCGAGCCACAGACCGGGGACGUUUCUAUGAGUGGAAUUAAGUUGUCCAAGGUGAGCUCUCAGAGAUUAUUCUCCGAUUAUAUCUGGUUUUAAAUAUAUAUUUUUUAGAAUACCCAGAAUUUCAAGAAGAUUCGAAAAAGGAAGCUAGCUACUAAAGCAACUCCAAUUGUAGAACCACAAAUCUCUUCUCCGAUGGUUCAACGCUGGUCGGAUCUACUGUUGUUUCUGAUGAAUCAGAGUGUUUAUGUGAUAAUUUGAAUUACGGGAACUGCAACAAGUCUUACAAGAGAUCUCGAGUCGAACAUGUGGCAGCAUCUAAUAACCGAUUCAGUUGGUUCAAAGUAUCAAUGAUGCACCCAGGCCAUGCAAAGAAGAUGUUGAGUGAAACUGCUAAGCUUGGGUAAGUUAUCAAAACUGUCAAACUUUGAGAGAUUGUCUAAAAAACAUUUCAGAGUAGAAAUCGAGGAUGUGUUUCACGCGGCUCUUCCAUCGAGCAAUCCAAAAUUGUCGCUGUACUAUUACACAUUCAAGGGAAAGUCAAUCGAAGAUGAAGAGAAAUUGAAGACCGCUGUUGAGAACAACUUCGUGGAAGUAUUCAAUGCGGAGUCAUUGCUCGGAAGUGUUGACAAGUCUUUCUUUUUCUACGAAAUUGAUAUGAGAAGUGCGUCGAUUCUUUGCACAAUUGCCACUUUGUAAGUCAUAUCACGCUUUUAGUGCCAUAAAAAUUGAUUAAUUCCAGCUUAAAACAUUGGAAGACUAAGCCUCUUCUGCCACCACUGGAGCUGAUUCGCAGCCACGAGCAUUUUUCAAAUGCUCUAAACGAUAGUGAAACAUAUAAGAUUCUUGAAAAAG
rnacentral:sRNA from 1 species